ACUCUUAGCCGCUGUUAUAAAGGUGGGAAGGACAAGAAAGGUGGGCAUGGUGGGAGGCACGAGGAGUAGAGAGUGCCUGGAUGCUGGAACGUGUGUGGAGAAGCUGGAAGAGGGAAGCAGAGUCACACGGUCAGAUUCUUAGGUCAUGCUGGGAAGUGUGGGCUUUAUCUGGAUGCUGAACAUCAACCAGAACAUUUAAAGGGAAUAAAUCACACAAAAUGCAAGAAUGCAAGCAUAAAUUAAAGCCUCUAUUUGUACGGGAUCUUCUGGAGGACAGAAUGGCAAAACUGAACCCUUCACGGCCAGUGAAUUGAAGACAUGAAGAGUAAAGAGUCAGGUUCAGCUUCCAGAUGAACACCUCUUCCCACACAGUGUUGGGUCUGGAUUGGCUGCCGCAUGAAGAGAGGUACUUGGUAACCUGACCUUCUUUAACCUCCUCUUCCAGUUGAGUCACCUGUGAAGACACCAGAGGAGGGAAAGGAGCACUCUGCACAAAACCACACAGUAGACAGCAAGAAGCAAGGCAGAUCCAAGCUCUGCCUUCAUAAAGGUCACUUCGAGGGGAUGUCACAGUUGAGGCAAAGGAAAACAGGCCACUGUUAGACUACAUGUGAACAGCAGAAAACCAACCUGUAGCACGCAAAGACCUAUAUAAUUCAGCAAUGUUCGGCACCAGCUUAAUCACAAGCCCCAUGCGUGGCCUGCUGGUCUGAGAACCUGAACCUCAGGGAGACUGCCAGCUCUCCCAGAAAUCCUGGGAGCCCAACUAUCUUACAUUCUUAAUAUAAGCUCCUCCAGCUCCAGAGUGGAUACAAAUCUUCCUUGAGUUGGAAGUUAUUUCCUGAGCCUUUAACAUUUGACAAAAUACCAAAACUGACUUUUGGAUAAGCACUGUUGUCAACUCAAGAUGAUGAAAAUACCACACCACAUAGUUCUGGAGUUUCCCGACACUAACAAAGGUUGUUCACAAACAUUACCCAUAUUGCACCCUCACACACCCCCCUUUUGUGGACAGGAAACUUCAGGAAGACAAAGUAACUUCCGCAUAGCCAAAGGAGCAGAGCCUAGUUCUCCGUGAUCUACCAAUUUUCUCAUAUUCUCUGAACUGCCCAGGCUUGUGAGCCACUGGGGAACGGAAUUACCACCGAGCCCCUCCGGAAAUGGAGGGCGUCCUGACUCAUUUUUCUCAUGCCUUUCCCUAAGCACAAGAGGAAAAAAAACAAAACAGGUCAACAGGAACAAUUUCCAACUCACUGUUACAAGGUAGGGAAAUUUCCACAUUACAUGUAUCUAGAGGCACACCAGACAAAUGUAUGACAGACCAGCAGACCAGCCAAACAAACUCCACAAAGAAGUAAAAGGAGAUGCUCCUUUCAGCACCUCUUGUGUGCCAGGCACUGCACUUCAUACUCUCACAUACACGAUCACAUUUAAGUUUUCCAACUGUGACGUAGCUCUUACCAUCCCCAUUUUAUAAUUAUAAAAACUGAGGGCACAGAGGCUCAGUGACUUGCCCUAGGCCAUUCAGUGAAGCCAAUAUCUAAACCCCAGAUGUUUCUAAACACUAUGCUUUAUUCUAGACAGUACACGGUCGUUGGUCAGGAAACACGAGUUCCUUUGAGAAAGGUAUGCUGGAGACAUAAAAUUAUAACGAAUUAGUAUUACCUAGAACAUACACAGCUGCAGUUCCAUUCCCUCAGCUCACCGCAGAUCCAAAAUGCCCAGCUUCAUUUCCAAUUUCCCCUGAGCCUCCAUCACUGACUCCUUAGAAAUUUCUAUUAGUCUCUUAUCUCCUUUCCCAUUGAAAAAGAAUACCUUCCUCCUAAAAGUCAUAUUUUUCCAUAAGUGACCUGAAAGACAACUAGAAAGCAAGAGAACUCUUAUGAAAUCGACAAUUUUCCAUCCUCUCAAAGAUUAAUUCACCCACGAGUCAACCAUGAGUGUCACAAUUUCAAAAACCAUUCAUUUUUUAACCCAACAAUUAUCCUGAUCAAAAUAAGUCUCACACAAGAUUCUGAUCUUAAAUACUGAGUGCAAGUGGCAUUGAUUAAAAGCCUUAAACUUAUCCUUUUAUUGGC